UACCAGAAUUCAAUAAAGAGAAUAUUAACACAGUAUUACUGUAAUACUUCAGCAUUACAGUAGUAAAAAUCCACAAAUGGAAUUCACACCAGGCACAUGGUUAGGCACAGUGGAAUAUUAUGCAGCCAUUACAAAUAUUUACAAGGAAUUUUAAAUUACAUCAAAAAUAUUAUUUAACAUUCAUUGAUACAGGUGUUCAAAGGGGCAUAUAGGAUAAGAAGGCAAGUACGUUAGAAAUAUACAUACAUAGGCCGGGCGCAGUGGCUCACGCCUGUAAUCCCAGCACUUUGGGAGGCUGAGGUGGGCAGAUCACGAGGUAAGGAGAUUGAGACCAUCCUGGCUAACAUGGUGAAACCCCGUCUCUACUAAAAAUAAAAAAAAAAUAAAAAAAUAAAAAUUAGCCGGGCAUGGUGGCGGGCGACUGUAGUCAAAGCUACUCGGGAGGCUGAGGCAGGAGAAUGGCUUGAACCCAGGAGGCAGAGCUUGCAGUGAACCAAGAUCGCGCUACUGCACUCCAGCCCGGGCGACAGUGCGAGACUCCAUCUCAAAAAAAAAAAAAAGAAAAAAAGAAAAAAAUAUAUGUGUACCUACAUAGCAUUAAAACAAUUGCAGGAAAGACACCAAAUCUGUUACCAGCAGUUUUCUGGGUUGUGAAAUUUGUAGUUUUUAUUUCAUUAUAUUUUCUGGGUUUUUCUAGGUUUUCAGCAACAAAUACUGACAAAAGGAAAUGAACAGUUUUCAGAGACUUACUUUAAAACAGAGUUAAAGGAAUACACAUGAAAUUGGUAACAGUGGCUGCCUCUGGGGUCGGCAGGUAUUACUUAUUCAAAAAUAAAUAAAUUUCUACAAAGAAGAUACAGAUAUAUAAAUACUAAAACCACAGGAGCUGAGAAGCAGCGCUUGAUUUCCUGGGGGAAAUCAAGAAAAGUGCUUUCGGCUCCUGGGGGAGAUAAGACUCCAGGUUCAGGCUGCCCUUUUAGGCCCAAAGCCUCCAAGUCACCCCAGGACCCAGCUAGUUCCAGUGUCUUCACUCAGCAAGGCCUGCUCCAUCGGACACAAAACUGAUCAGGAGUUGGACCAUCUCCUCCCUGGGCAUUUUUCCCUGCAGUAGGGGUGGGCAGGCUGUGGGAGGGGCUGCAGUGGACACUGGGCCUCUGAGCUGGGACCACCUGUGUCCCCUGGGCCUGACACAGACCAGGACCUGAUGCACGAGUAAGAAUGAAUGGGGCCCAAUCGCCUAACAAAGGCAACUCAAUUUCAGCCCCGAUUGUUCCAGAAGGAUUUGCUGUAAGCAACCGGAGAAGUUGGCAUUUGUUCAACAUGGAAAAAGUGUCCCCCAACUUUGAAGCACUGAACCAAACAUCUUUGUUGAGGUUUCAUUCUCACGAUAUCUGCAAAUCAACGUUUUUUCCUUCACACUAAAAACGGGCAACUUUAGAGCCCACUAAAGCUAUACAAAAUUGGGAGGGGGCAUGCUCUGAUUUUCCAUUUUUAGUUCCAGGGUCCGUAUGCAGGACUUAUUUGCAGGAAGAGCAGGAAUGAUCAGUUCAACAAGAAAAGCCACACUCAGUUUUCACAGACAGACAACCCCUCCUUCCCACCCCUGCCCUGUCCCCCAUCAACUUAAGUGGCAUAUAAAUGAUUAAAGUGGCUUCAUUAACUCCAGGAGUGUGGCCUGUGCUAGGGCACCUGAUUUGUGCUAGACGAGGCCAGCAGAAGAGCAAUCGCUCUGCAAGAGAAAGGCUCGGCCCUUCCUUAAUCACCAUGGGUUAUAAUUCACCCUGACGUCCUUACACACAUGGAGGUGCCAGGAUACUGAGCUUUCCUAUAAGCAGGGCCUCAGCAGAAGUGCCUCCCUCCGAGCCUCCAGGGCCUGAGAGGAGAGCCCC
rnacentral:lncRNA from 10 species